CUACGGGUUGCUGCAGUGGGGAAUUUUGCGCAAUGGGGGCAACCCUGACGCAGCAAUACCGCGUGAGUGAAGAAGGCCUUUGGGUCGUAAAGCUCUUUUCUAAGGGAAGAUAGUGACGGUACCUUAGGAAUAAGCACCGGCUAACUCCGUGCCAGCAGCCGCGGUAAUACGGAGGGUGCGAGCGUUGUUCGGAUUUACUGGGCGUAAAGGGCACGUAGGCGGCCUAGCAAGUUAAGGGUGAAAUCCCGGGGCUCAACUCCGGAACUGCUCUUAAAACUGCUAAGCUAGAGAUAGUCAGAGGCGGGUGGAAUUCCAGGUGUAGAGGUGAAAUUCGUAGAUAUCUGGAGGAACACCGGUGGCGAAGGCGGCCCGCUGGGGCUAUUCUGACGCUGAGGUGCGAAAGCGUGGGGAGCGAACGGGAUUAGAUACCCUCGUAGUC
rnacentral:rRNA from 1 species